GUGGGUAUAGCUCAGUAGUUGAAAGCAUUCUUAGCAUGUAGGAGAUCCUGGGUUCAAUUCCCAGUACCUUCA
rnacentral:tRNA from 1 species